UGGUUUGAGUCGGGUGCACCUUAGUCAUCAAAGUGACAUCUUUGUUUUUUAAUGCUUUAAAGAGUCUUUUGCAGCAGAUUUGCCCGGUGCAAUACGUCACUUGAUUUCUUGACUGCUGCUUCCAUGGGCAUUGAUUGUGGAUCCAAGUAAAAUGAAAUUCUUGACAAUUUCAGUAUUUUCUCCAUUUAUCAUGAUGUUGCUUAUUGGCCCAGUUGAGGAUUUUUGUUUUCCUUAUGUUGAGGUAUAAUCCAUACUGAAGGCUGUACACAGCCUUUGGUCUUAAUCAGUAAAGUGCUUCAAGUCCUCUUCACUUUCAGCAAGCAGGGUUAUGUCAUGUGCAUAUUGCAUGUUGUUAAUAAGUCUACCUCCAAUCCUGAUGCUGCAUUCUUCAUAUAGUCCAGUUUCUCGGGUUGUUUGCUCAGCAUACGGAUUGAAUAUAAAUAAUAAUAAUAAUAAUCUUUGGUUUUUUUUGUACAAAAGUUUGAAAGCACAGGAAAGUCUAGAAAGGAAUUAUGUUGACCAUACUCCUGUCACCGAGUUAUACUUCAUGUUAAGUUUCUGAUGUUUUUCCUUGUUGUUGUGUGCCUGUCGAGUCGAUUCUGACUCAUAAUGACCCUAUAGUACAGAGUAGAACUGCCCCCAUUGAAUCUUUUAGGCUGUAAUCUUUACAGGACCAGAUUGCCAGGUCUUUUCUCCUUUGAAACCGCUGGUGGGCUUGAACUGCCAACCUUUUGGUUAGCAACCAAGUGCUUUACCCAUUGAGCCACCAGGGCUCCUUAAUGUUUUCCCUUCUGGUCUUAUAUCAGUAAUUAUGUAUCUUGAUUUAAGCCCAAGACAGAGUCAUAUUUCUUUUUCCCCGUUAACUUUGUAACUGAUUAUUUUCUGUAACAAAAACUGAUUGUUUUACAUAAUAGCACCAUUGAAGACUUGUAAGUUUUCUAGGCGACUGCCUUGAAGAUAAUACUUGUAAGAAAAACCAAUCAAUCUUGUUAAACUGCCAAAGGUAAACAUUUAGUAUCUGAAGUUAAAGAUAUAUUUGUUUUAAAAAUAUUUUAUUGUUUUACUUUUAAUGUUUUUGGAGUUAUAAUUGCAUAGAGUGCAGUGGACACAUUUUCAGUGUUACAGUUUGGUGCAUUUGUCAAAAUACAUAUACCCAUGCACCCAUACCUGUCAAGAGAUAAAAUAUUUACAUUAUUAUCCCCUUUCAUUUCCUGCCCUCCUCCCCACAAUCGCCACUGAUUUCUUUCACCAUAGAUUAGUUUUACCUCUUCUCCAGCUUCAUGUAAAUGGACUCAUACAGUAUGUACUUUCCUUGCAAGGCUUCUUUAGGCCCAUGACUUGUUUUUGAGAUUCAUCCAUGUCGUUGCAUGAAUCAGUAGUUCAUUCCUUUUUGUUGGCACAUGGCAUUCUCUUGUAUGUAUACAAUUCUGUAUUGUGCGUAUGCCUUGGUUUACUUAGUCACUUUCUUGCUGAUGGGUAUUUGGGUAGUUUCCAAUUUGGAGCUAUCAUGAAUAAAGCUCUGUGAACAUUUUUGUAAAGGCUUUGUGUGGAUAUAUGUUUCAUUUCCCUUGGGAUAAAUAACUAGGAAUAGCGUUGCCUGGAUAAGGGUGGGUCUGUUUCUGGACUCUAGUUCCAGGGGUUGGCAAACUACAGCCCAUGGGCCAAAUCCAACCCAAGCCCUGUUUUUAGACCUCCCACAGCCUAAGAAUGGCUUUAUGUAUUUUUUAAGGGUUACAAACAAUAAUAAUGUGGGACAGACCAUAUGCGGCCCACAAAACCUAAAACAGUUACUAAUUGGCCCUUUACAGAAGUCUGAACUAUUAUUUGCCUGUUUCUAUAGCUUUACAAAAAAAAAAAAAAUUUUUUUUUUUAAUAAGUUUUAAAUCAGGUAGUAUGAGCCUCACAGCUCUGUUCUUUUUCAAGAUCAUUUUGGCUAUUCUGGGUCCUUUGGAUUUCCCUAGAAAUUUUAGAAUCAUCUUGUCAGUUUCUAGGAAAAACCCUGCUAGGCCCACAGUUAAAAUUGUAUUGCAUCUAUAGAUCAAUUUGGGGAGAAUUGACUUCUUAACUGGCUUGAGUUUUUCAAUCCAUGAAUGUGGUAUAUUUCUCCAUUUAUUAAGGUCUUCUUUAAUCCAGCAGGGUUUUAGAGCAGGGCUUCGAACUGGUUCGUUCCAGUUCAAUUUCCUGCUGAGAAUUUGCAUUUCAACCCCAAUAUACUGAAUCAGAAUCUAUAGUUUGACAAGAUCCCCAACUGAUUCUAUGUAUAAUACAUUUUGAGAACCAGUGAUCUACUAGUGGUUCUCAGAAUUGGUCCCUAACGAGCAGCAUUAGCAUCACCUGGGAACUUGUUAGAAAUGCAAAGUUUUAGCUGUUUUGGAGUUUUCAGUGAAAAGGUUUUGCAUGUCUUUCACUAACAUAUGUACAUAUAUUAUUUUUUUAGUGUACAAUUUAGUGGUUUUGGUAUUUUCAAAAGGUUGUGCAGCCAUUACCACUAAUUUCUUGAAUAUUUUCAAAACCCCGUGUUAUGGUUUGAAUUGUGACUCCCAGAAGUAAGUAUUGAAAUCCUGGCUGCUGUACCUAUAAAUAUAAGGGCAGUGGUGGUUGAGUGGCAGAGCUCUCAGCAUCCAUGCAGGAGACCUGAGUUCAGUUCCCAGCCAGUGCACCUCAAAUGCAGUCACCACUUAUCUGUCAGUGGAGCCUUUCAUGUUAGAUAUUGAAUAGGUUUCAGCAGAGUUUCCAGACUAAGACAGACUAGGAAGAAAGACCUGGCAAUCUACUUCCAAAAAUCAGCCAAUGAAAACCCUAUGGAUCACAGUGAUCCAAUCCUGUUGUACAUGGGAUCUCUGUGAUUCAUAGCUGAGUCAUUGCCACCUAGCAACAACAACAAUGCCAUAAAUAGGAUCCUGUUUGGAAACAAAGGUUUCUUUGUUAUGGUAAUUAGGUCAUACUUGAGUAGGAUGGGUUCUAAUCUAAUCACUUCUGAGUUAUAAAAAGAGCAGAAUGCACACAGACACACAUGGGGGGAGCAAGGAAGACAAAUACAUCUAUAACGAUUGCUGUUAGCUACUAGAAGCUGGUAUUCAUUGGAAAUAUCUUUUUUCAACAACAUAAAUGGUGACUGUACACAUAGACCUUGCAGGAUGGAAUACAUAGGAAUCAAAUCAACUAUACACCUACGCCUUAUUUAUCAACUAUUUCAUUAUCCAGCAUUCUACAUUUGCAACAGUGGUAGAAUAUCUAUUCUCUGGCUAUUUUGUGCAUUAAUGAGGCAGCGGGCAUGGUGGCAACAGCUACAGAGCAUCCCUUCCCUCAAAGAGAGCCUUUGGGCACCCUCAGAGAAGCUGGACUCUGCCAUCCCACGCCCUCUGCUUCCUCCUGCCAGGGGGGCACUCUGUCCAGCUGCCACAUGGGCUGGCCUCCUCCAGGGCCAUGGCCUCCGGGCAGACAUGUGAGUGGCACCGAGCCAGCAGGCACCUUUUCUGGGUUCCCAGCUCUUAAGUGGCCUGAGGCCCUGCAGCUCAAAAUUGCUGUGGGGUGGGAAGAUAGGAAAGAAAGAGACAUUGGAGAGGGUGUUUGGAAGAAAUGAGUGCAAGUUUAAUGACAUCCCAAAGUGGGCCAAACUGGGCCUGAAGCCUGUCUCCAUGGGGCCAGGUGCUUGGCCAGGCUCCCAGCACCCUUGCAGGAAGCCCCGAGUCUCAAGCUUAGGUGACUCACCAAGCCCAGAGGACAGAACAAGCUCCAGGAUCAUGAACGCAGGGCUUGAAGGGGUGGGAGUGGAACUCUAGAGGUGGCUCUGUGAGGGAAGCUCUGACCCACCACAGGUGGGAGGUGAAGUGAGUAAGCCUGGACCCUCCAGUCACACAGCCCAGCUUUAUCCAGCUGUGUCUCCUCCAGACUUCCUUUUCUGCGGAGGAAUAAUCCAUACCUGCACUCAUCACAGUGAUGAGCACGUCAGUAAAUCUGAGCCGUUAUUAUUUCUAUGAUCAUGAUUUCUAAAUAAAAUCAGACAAAUGGAUGGUGUGAAAAUAGGAAAAAAAAAUCCUCCGUUUUCACAUUAACACCAAUUUUCGCAUAAUGACCUGGUCUUUGGACCCUAACUGUGUGGGAAAGUAAGGAGUGGGUGUAUAUCUGUGGAAAGAGAUGAUGGAGAAUCUCAAUAUCAUCAGUCAGAACAAGGCCAGGGGCUGACUGCAGAACAGACCAUCAACUCUUCAUGUGCAAGUUCGAGUUGAAGCUGAAGAAAAUUAAAACAACUCUAUGAGUGUCAAAAUACGAUUUUGAGUAUAUCCCACCUGAAUUUAGAGACCAUCUCAAAAAUAGAUUUGACAUGUUGAACACUAAUGACCAAAGACCAGAUGAGUUGUGGGAUGACAUCAAGGACACCAUACAUGGAGAAAGCAAGAGAUCAUUAAAGAGACAAGAAAGAAAGAAAGACCAAAAUGGAUGUCAGAAGAGACUCUGAAACUUGUUCUUGAGCAUAGAAUAGCUAAAGUGAAUGGAAGAAAUGAUGAAGUAAAAGUGCUAAAAGGAAGAUUUCAAAGGGUGGCUGGAAAAGACAAAGUAAAGUAUUAUAAUGAAAUGUGCGGAGACCUGGAGUUAGAAAACCAAAAGGGAAGAGCACGCUUGGCAUCUCUCAAGCUGAAAGAACUGAAGAAAAAAAAAUCAAGCCUCAAGUUGGAAUAUUGAAGGAUUUUAUGCCAAUGCCUUCAGUGCAAAAAAAAAAAAAAAAAUUUUUUUUUUUUUUUUUGCACUGAAGGCAUUGGCAAAACAAAGGCUCCAGGAAUUGAUGGAUUUCCAAUUGUGGUGUUUUCAACAAACAGAUUUAACCACUGCACCACUAAGGCUUCUCUAGGUAACUAAGACGUCACAAAAAGAAGCCAUUAGUGGUCACUCCUCAUUUCUUCCUCCCCCCAGCUCCUGACAACCAUGAAUCUAUUUUCUGUCUCUGUAGAUUUGCCUGUUCUGGACAUUACCCAUAAAUGGAAUCAUACAACACCAUGAUCUUUUGUGUUUGCCUUCUUUCACUUAGCAUAUUGUCAAAGUUCAUUAAAUUUAACCCUAAAUUAUUUAGCUUUUUAAUAAUGUAAAUGAUGCAUUUUUUAAAUUUGUUUCUGGUAUUAGUAUGGAGAAAUGAGAUUUUUUUUGUGUGUGUAUUAACCUUUGUAUUCUGUGCAUUUACUAACUCCUUUAUUCUAGUACUUUUUUUGGUAGAUGUCUUAGAAUUUUCUAGGUCAUGUUGUCUGAGAGAAAAAGACAGUUUUACUACUCCUUUUCUAAUCUGUACGCCUUUUGUUUACUUUUUCUGGCUUUACUGCUCUACCUAGUAUGAUAUAUUUAAUUAAAGUGAUGAGAGCAGGCAUCCCUGGUCUUGUUCUUGACCUGAGGAGGGACGUAUUCAGUCUUUCAUUAGUAAGCAUGGCAUUAGUUGUAGGCUUUUUUAGGUCUCCCUUUAUCGGGAUGAGGAAGGUCCCCUUCAAUUCCCAGUGUGCUGAGUGGUUUUAUCAUGAAUAAUUGUUGAAUUUUCUCAAGUGGUUUUUUUGCUUCUGUUGAGAUAAUCACAUAGGUUUUCUUCUUUAUUCUGUCAAUGUAGUGAAUUACAUAUUUUCUGAAUGUUGAACCAGCCUUGCAUUCCUGCGAUAAAUUCCACAUGAUCAUGGUGUAUUAUGCUUUUUAUAGAUUGCUAAAUCUUAUGUAUUAGUAUAUUGUUCAGGAUUUGUGCAUCUGUAUUCACGAGGGAUAUGGUUCUAUAAUUUUCUUUCCUAGCAUUUGGCUUUCAUAUCAGGAAUAUACUGGCUUCAUAAAAUUACUUGGAAAUUUUUCCCUCCUCUCUCUUUUCUGAAAGAGCUUAUGUAAGAUUGAAGCUUCUGGACUACGAGCGUCCCUCAUGGAAAGGUUUUAAAUAAUGACUCAAUUACUUUAAUAGUUAUUGUCUGUUAAAGAUUUUCAUGUCUUUUUUUUUUUUUUUCAUACCGUGCACAAAUGAAACAUACACUUCAUUUCUACACAUGCACUUCCUUGGCAUUGAUUACAUUCUUCAAGUUGUGCAACCACUCUUGCUACCUUUCCUGAAUUAUACCACCACCGUUAACAUACAUUCGGUGCGUUCUAAGUAAAACCUCCACUUUCCCCGUUUGCCAUGCCUGGUAACCACUAAUUACUUAGGGUUUCUAUAUAUUUGCUUAUUUCAUAUUAGUGAGAUCAUAUAGUAUUUGUCCUUUUGUGCCUGACUUAUUUUACCCAGCAUAAUGUCCUCUGGGUUUAUCUGUGUUGUGGCAUACAUCAGGACUUCAUUCCUCUUUAUGGCUGAAUAAUAUUCCAUUGUAUGUAUGUACUACAGUUUAUCUGUUCAUCAGUUGAUGGGUAUUUUGGUUGUUUCUACCUUUUGACUACUGUGAAAAAUGCUCCAAUCAACAUUGGUGUACGUACGUCUGUCAGCGUCACUGCUGUUAGGUCUUUUGGGUAAAUACCUAAGAGUGGAAUUCCUGGGUUAUGUGGUAGUUCUGUGUUCAGCUUUUUUUGUUUUCCUUAGUGGCUGUACCAAUUUACAGUCCCACCAGCAAUGAAGGUAGGUUCCUGUUUCUCCACAACCUCACCAACACCUAAUAUUUCCUGUUUUUUGAUCAUUGCCGUUCUAAUGGGGAUGAGAUGAUAUGUCACUAUAGUUUUGAUUUUCCAUUUCUUGUGUUAUUUGGUAAUUCAUGUUUUUCAAGAAAUUUGUCUAUUUUAUCUCAGUUCUUGCAUAUAUUGGCAUAAGUAUGUUUGUUUCCCUAGUUUUUUCCAAUGUCUGUAGAAGCUGUAAUAAGGUGUGGUGGUUCCCAUCUGAUACUAUAGUUUGUGCUUUCUCCCCGCCCCCCCAUCAGUGUAGAUAGAGGCUUAUCAACUUGAUUGAUAUUUUCAACAAUCGACUUUUGAUUUUGUUAAUUUUUUUCUAUUGUUUGAUUUCUGUGUAAUUUUCGUCUACUUUAUUGGGUUUUCUUUGUUCUUUUUAGCUUCUUAGGGUAGAAGCUUAAAUCAUUGACUUUAGAUUUUUCCAGUAUUAAUAUUUGAGCUUUAAAUUUCCCUUUAAAUACCGCUUUGACUUCAUCCCAUAGAGUUUUGUAUGUUUUGUUCUCAUCAUUUAGUCAAAUAUUUUUAAAUUUCUCUUGUGGUUUCUUUGAUCUGUAGGCUGUCUAGAAUUGUAUUGCUUAAUUUUCAAAUAUUUGGGGAUUUUGCAGAUACUAUGUUGUUAAUGAUUUCUUAUUUGAUGCCGUUUGGUCAGAGAUCUCUGAUUUUUGUCUUUGAAAUUUAUUGAUUCUUGUUUUAUGUUCUGUCUUCAUGAAUGUUCUACAUGCACUCAAGAAGUACAUGCAUUCUAUAGCUGGUAGGGUAUUAGUGUUUGUGAAUGUCAACUAGGGUAAGCUGGUUGAUUGUAUUGUUCAAAUCAGGGCAAAUUUGCUGCUUAGAAUUUGCAUUUGCACCCCCAGAUAUACUGAGUCAGAAUCUGCAUUUUAACAAGAUCCCCCAGGUGAUUCAUAUGUAUAACUUCCUGGGAACUUGGUAAAAAUGCAAGUUCUUAGCAGGGGUUCCAACUGGAACAAAUAGGUGCAAAGCCCUCAUUCAAGUUUGAUCUGUCCUUACUAAUUUGUCUGUUCUCUCAGUUAUUUAGCAAGCAGUAUUAAAAAUAUCCCACAAUAAUUGUGAUUUUGUCUAUUUUUCCUUUAGUCAGAAGUAAAUCUGAGUUUUUGCUUCAUGUUUUUAAAGCCCUUUUAUUAGGUGAACACACAAUUCCUGAUGAAUUGAACCUUUUAUCAUUCCACUUUUUCUCUGCUAAUAUUUUUGCCUUGAAAUCUACUUUGUCUAAUAUUAGUAUAGCCACUCCUACUGUCUUAUGAUUAGUAUUUGCAAAACAUGUCUUUUCUCAUCCUUUUAAUGUACCUGUGUCUUUAUAUUUAAAGUAUCUUAUGAACAGCAUACAGUUCGAUUUUUUUUUUUUUUUUUUUUGGUCUUGGCUUAUUAGUAUUUUAUUUUAUAUCUUCUUGACAUUUUUGCUUUAUAUCUAUUUUCUCUUUUUUAAGUGGUUGACUCUAGGGAUACAGUAUGAUUCUUAACUUUUUACAGUCUAUCCAUGAAUUAUUAUCUUAUAACUUUAUGUAUAGUCUAGGAAUCUUAGCCCCUUUUGUACUAUUGUGGUCAUAACUUUUACUGCUGGCAUAUGUUACAAACACCACAAUAUGUUGUUGUUAAAUUUGUUUUAAGCAGUCAGUUAUCUUUUCAAGAAAUUAAGAAGUUAAAAAAAAAACUUAUUUACCAUUACUAGUGCUUUUCAAUAUUUUGUACAGAUCCAUAUUUCCAUAUGCUGUUCUUUUUCUUUCAGUCUGAGGAACUUCCCAUAAUAACAUUAUUGAUAGUGCAUCUGCUGGUGACAAAUUCUCUCAGCUUUUGUUUAUCUGAGAAUGUUUUUAUUUUACCUUGAUUUUUGGAGGGUAUUUUCACUGAAUGUAAAAUUCCAAUUUGACAGGGUUUUUUUUUGUUGAUGUUGGUGCCUUCGGGUCCUUCUGUUGUCUUUUAGCUUGCAUUACUUUUGAUAAGAAGUUUGUGAAUAAUCUUAUUCUUUGUGUACUGUAUCUUUUUUCCCCUGACUACCUUAAAAUUUUUCUCUUUUUUUUUUCAGCAGUUUGGCGGAGAAAUGCCUAUGUGUGGCUUUCUUUGUGUUUAUCUUGUGUGGGAUUUAUUAAGCCUCACCAAAUUAGGAAAUUUUCACAAUUCUAUUUAUAUAUUAAAAAAAAUAAUUUUUAGCAGCUUCACUCAAUUUAAGAGUACUGUGAUUUUUAGUAAAUUUAGAGUCGUAUAGCCAUCACCACAAUCAUCAAAUUUUUUAUUUCAGAUACUGUAUUCUUUAAUUCUAGAAUUUCCUUAUUGUUCUUUUUUGUAGUUUUCAUUUCUCUCCUGAGACCCCCCGUUCACUCAUUAUGUCCAUUUUUUCCUUAAAUCUCUAAAAGUAUUUCUAACAACUUUUUUAAAGUCAUUGUCUGCCAAUUCCAACCAGCAUCUCUGAAUCUGUUUCACGUAUGGCUUAAAAAAAAAAAAUUCCUGCUUAUGGGUCACAUUUUCUUACCUAUUCAUUAAUUUUUGACUGUGGAAUGUACAUUGUGGUUGAUGUAUUCACAAUAUAGGUUUUGUUGUCUUUAGAGAGUGUUGAGCUUUGUUCUGGCAGGCAGUUAAUUACUCAGUUAACUAGGUUGGUUUGGGUCUUUCAAGGCUUGUUUUUAAUCUUCAUUAGUGCAGGCCUUGAGGAGCCCUGCUCCUUAGACUUGGGUUUUUUGUGUCUUAGUUGAAUGCCUGGCGUGUUCAGCAAGGUCUUGAAUCUCCAGCUGGUCAGAACUCCUAUGUCCCCAGCCCGGUGCCAUCUCCGGAAUCUGUUCAGUUCACAGUUCCUUGCUAGUUCCUGCACAACUAGGUACUCACUGAAAACAUAAAAGGGAUCCAUGCCAAUCUCUUGAGCUCUUCUGACUAGCCAGUGCAUUAUUGGUACCACAAAUUCUAGCCACCCCAGCAGCCCCAAACGCCAUCCCUGCCCCCAGGUCAGCAAGUGGACUGUGCUCCUUUGGAGCUGCACCUUGGCCCACUGCAGUUAGAAGCACCUUGAACCAAAGGGGUUCUCAUGAAUCUCUUUCCUCUUGGGGUCAUGGUUUCAUGGUGCCUAGAGCUGAAUGUCUGGAAACCAAUUUUAAAAAAAUAAAAUGGACGUUUUAUAGCUAUAGAAGUGGGACAGAAUUCUUAGAAAAUUAGAUGUAGAACAAUAUAAAGAUAAAACAUCUCAAAAUCCCAUUCUCUAGAGGUAUUUACUGUAAAAAUGUUGGUGUUUGCUGUUUUCCUGAGAAUUGAUGGUAUGUUAUUUAAAACUCUUUUGAGGGGGUUCUAACGUUUAUGGCUGCUUCUGCUCUGUCAGUGCCACGCUGUCGGGAGGGGCACAGCAUGGCUGUCUUCCUCCUCCCCAUCCCAGCCAGGCCUCUCAAGACUGGUUACAUCAGCUCUGUCCUCUUCCUCUCUCCACCACUGUCCAACCAAGUUAAAAGUAAAAAUUUCACCUCCUUGUCAAGUUUACCAGGUAACUCAGUCUUGAUGCUGUUUGCCCUGUCAGUUAUCUUUGACACUGUUCUGCAUUCUUGCUCUCCUGAAGUGCCUACCCUGUCCCCACCUUUUCCUCCUGUCACUACUGGCUCUGUGCUCCUUCUGUCUUCUUGGCAGCUCUCUUUGCUGGGAUCUUUUAGUCCCUUUACCGGUAGGUAUCCUUCAGUUCUGCCUCCUGCCACCUUUCAACUCUGUAUAUAUCCACCACUUUCCUGCAUCCAGUCUCCUUCACAUCUAAGACAUUGAUUGCCACCAGUGCACCUCAGCCCCUAGUUACUGGUGGUGGCUCCCAGCAUGCUUCAGCCCUUAUAUGCUGGUGGUAGUUCCCAGUGUACCUCAGUCCUGUGUACUGGCGGUGGUUCCCAGCACACCUCAGCCCCUGUGUACUGGUGGUAGCUCCCAGCACACCUCAGCCCCUGUGUACUGGUAGUGGCUCCCAGCAUACCUCAGCCCCUGUGUACUGGUGGUGGCUCCCAGCAUGCUUCAGCCCUGUAUACUGGUGGUGGCUCCCAGCACACCUCAGCCCUGUAUACUGGUGGUGGCUCCCAGCACACCUCAGCCCUUGUAUACUGGUGGUGGCUCCCAGCAUACCAAGCCCCUUGUAUACUGGUGGUGGCUCUCAGAACACUUCAGCCCUUGUAUACUGGUGGUUGCUCCCAAUACACCUCAGCCCUUGUAUACUGGUGGUUGCUCCCAGCAGACCUCAGCCCUCUAUACUGGUAGUGAUUCUCAGCGCACCUCAGCCCUCUAUACUGGUAGUGAUUCUCAGCGCACCUCAGCCCUCUAUACUGGUAGUGAUUCUCAGCGCACCUCAGCCCUCUAUACUGGUAGUGAUUCUCAGCGCACCUCAGCCCUCUAUACUGGUAGUGAUUCUCAGCGCACCUCAGCCCUCUAUACUGGUAGUGAUUCUCAGCGCACCUCAGCCCUCUAUACUGGUAGUGAUUCUCAGCGCACCUCAGCCCUCUAUACUGGUAGUGAUUCUCAGCGCACCUCAGGUCCUGUUUGUCGCUGGUGGCUCCUACUCACUUCAGCCCCUUUCCUGUGCUUCAGAGCCGAACCUAUUCCUCUGAAUAUCACCUCUUCCUUUUCAACCUUUCAAACUCAACUCAUCCUCAUCUCCCCUCCUGCUCCUCCUCCUGACUAGCCAGUACGUUCCUGGUGCCACUGUCUUGCCACUUGAACCGUCCUCUACAUUGUGGGUCCUUAAGUUGUGUCCAGUUGAUGACCCAGUGAGCAGCACUUACCUAGAGUAGCAGUGAAAAUGAAUGCUCACUGGCCCUUUCCAUGUAUCAGGGACUGCGUGCUGUGCUUUAUGUGGGUUAACUCCUGUGCUUCUCACAACCAUCCAGUGAUGUUUCAGGCAUCCCGAUUUCACAGACAGGGAUGAGUACAGAGAUGUUAAGUGACUUGCGGAGGUCACACAGUAGAUAGGGGCCAGGAUUUGAAUGCAGACAGCCUGGCUUGCCAGCCUGUUUCAGCCCUCCUUCCUGAGUGCAGGUCUUCAGCUUCUCACCUGGACAGUUGCAGUCAUCUUCUAAUUGGUCUCUUCUACACAGUGGCCUGAAUACACACACUUCAACAUGGCAUUCUUCACAAAAAUCCGGGGUAGCUCCCAGGUGCUUUCAAUUAAAAACCCAAACUCCAGCGCCUGACACACAAGGCCCUUGCUGCACCCCUGAGCUCCAGCCCCUCUGGCAGUCCUGCACUUGGGCAGUGACCCCAAGUUCUCCCCUGCCUGUGCUCACAUGUGUCCCUGGGCUGGCUCUCCGGUGCCUGUGGAGUUCUGCAUUUUGUUGUGCUGUGAUUUCUUGGCCAGAAAACUUUGCUGAUUUGAAGGAACAAAUAGGAAUUUCUGGGGAGGUCAGAAACUGUGAGCCUGACUCUGCAGGCCAACCCCACCUCAGAUGAACUCCCACCACAGCAGCCCAUCAGCUUCUGAGUUUGGGUGGAGGGAUUUUCCUCCACCCCCAAGCGCAGGAGACGGGGCCAGGUUACUGGGUGCUUUGGAAGAAUCAUUGUAUCUAAGCCUUAAAGUUACCUUGUAACUACUAAAGAGAUGAAAAAUUCAAGGCUCAGAAAUAAAGUAAUUUACAUGGGGUCACAACUGGGAAGUUACCGCCCAGUAUUCAAAUCCACAGUCUGUGUAAAAGUUUCUGCCCUUUGUCGUUCUCUAGGGUGCUUUUCCAGCAGUGCAUACAUUUUAAGAACUAUUCCCCAGUCUGUCCGUGAACCUGUCUGACACAUUUUAGCAUAGACUAGGCAGUGCUUCACAAACUGGGAUGAGCUGCGAUCACCUGGGGAGUCUUCAGAGGCCUGGGGCCUGGGAUGCUGCCAUUCUAACAAGCUGUGAAGGCGUGCGGGCUGUGGCUGUGCUUCUUUGGGCACCGGGAGAUAAUCUCUGUUCUGAUGGCUCUUCUUAGCUGUGACAGCUUCUCAGACUUUCCUGGCUUUGGGUGACCUGGACAGUUUGGCAAGUACUGGGCAGGUAUUUUGUAAGACACCCCUCUGUUGGAAUUUGGUGGGUUUUUUCCCUCAUGAUUAGACUGGGGUGAUGGGUUUUAGGAGAAAGACUACAAAGGAGUAAACCGCCAGUCUCAUCACAUCAUAUCAGGGGUGCUUUUUGUCUACAUGAUUUAUCACUGUUGAUGCUGACCUUGGUCCCCUGGCUAAGGUCAUGCUUGUCAGGUUUCUCCAGUGUAAAAUUACCCUUUUCCUCCUUAUCCAUGCUGUACUCUUGGCAGGAAGUCACUGCACAGACUACACAUACACAGCUGGAGUUAUGCUCCACCUCCUUUAGGGUAGAGUAGCUACAUCAUUUAUUUGGAAUUAUUCUACAUGGGAGAUUUACCUUGCUUUAUAGUUUUUUAAUAAAUGAAAUAAAAUUUAACAUAGUGUCUUACAUAUGAUAUACUGAACAUAUGCUUCAUCUUUUUAAAAACUUGGCAUUAUUAAAAUUGAUGCAUAGAUUUGAUUCAUAUAACUUCUAUGUUAUGUUCCAUUAUAUGACUUUUUAAAUUCUUCCUUGUGUUUUUCUUCUAUUAUAAUUUUUCUCUACUGUUGCCCAUGCUUUUGAGGGUACAGACAACAUUCUGAAACGAAAACUUUUCUAGUGUCAGUGCCCCUUUUAAGAGGUGCAAAUAGCAGGUGUGGCAGAAUAUCAGAAACAGGAAGGCGUGAUGCAGUAAUUUUUCCAGUGAAGGCAUUUGUUAUUAGGUUCUGUUGGGUUAAUUCCGACUCAUGGCUACCUCAUGUGACAGGGCAGAACUGUCCCAUAGGGUUUUCUAGGCUGUAAUCUUUAUGAGAGCAGAUCGCCAGGUCUUUUCUUUCCUGCACCGGCUGGGUGGGUUCAGACCACCAACCUUCAGUUAGCAACCGAGUGCUUAACCGUUUGUGCCUCCAAGACUCCUUAAUAAAGGCUUAAAAUUAUAAAUUGAGUUUCACCCAGCCCUCUUAAAGACUUUGGUAAAACACAUUAUGCAUGUUCAAAUAUUACAUUUCUUGUUGACUCUUAGUAAAGGAAUAAGCACCUUUCCUGAACAUUCUAAUCAGACGAGCGUUCAGAGCACUCUUUAGAGCACCUGAUUGGGGCUAUGAAUUGAAUGUUGACGACAGUUUCCUGUCAACAUCAAUAUUUAUCAGUGGGUUAUAAUUGCGAGGCCAGAGUUCUGUGUAUAUACAUUUGUGCAUAUUAUUAUGUAUCGUAGGGUAAGAACACAGUGCUUUGGUUUGUGGCUUUUGAAAAAUGGUGCAUGAUCAGAAGUAAUGGGAUUGCAGCGUUUGCUUUGUUAUUUACCAAGUGGAAAGUUCGUGUACUCAAUAAUGAGCCAUAUUCUUCACUGCAUGUUUUUCUGCCAAGUAUAUGAAGAAUGAGCUGGAAAACAAGCUAUCUUAAAUCCUUUCUAGGACAGGGCAACAGAUAGCUAAUGCUGGGAAAGACAGACUUCAGACAUAUGUAUAAUAUCCUGCAGUCAUUGGCUUUGUAAGUUGUUGCCAUUAGGAUGCGACAACUUCUCAGGUUUUUAGAAAAUGUGUUCAUUUUAAAGAGCCGUGUCUUAUGUUAGAGAUUUUCUAUGCUUUAAUUUUGGAAAGUGAUCUUAAAGCCACCUCAGAUCGCACAGUGCUUGGUGGCUUUCAGAGCAUUGUCCCAUGUGCUGUCCUGUUGAAGUCAGAAACCGGAAGUCGUAGCAACCCUGUGUACAUGGCAUAUGGGCACAUGCGAUCUCAGUGACCAGCAACCCUACUGACCACAUGCGGGAACCAAGGUGGGGUGUCCAAGGAGAGAUUACUCAGUGCUUUUUUUACUGCCUGCAAGCCUGGCACAUUUUGCCUGGAGACGUACUGUAGAGCAGAACGUGCUGGCUUGUUUGGCUGUUGUCCUCUCCAGGUUGUCAGGGUGUGGCUCCACCUAGGUGUGUGGCCUCCACUUGUGGAUUCAUUGAGGGAAAGGUGUGCAGAGGUGGGAGUGGCCAGAAGACAGGAGCUGUCACUCAGGUCACGUUUGUCAGGAUUUGGUUGGAGAGGUCAUAGCAUCUUCCUCUCCUGUCUGUCGAUGUGAGUGAUGCUCCUCUGGACAGUGCUCACCUCUGGUGAGGAAUCUCCAGCAUCAACCAUCAGCUUCUCCCUGUCCUUUCCAUUCCUCAUGUUCAUUAUAGUUUAUGCCUUCCGUCUAUCAACUCUUUCCCAGCCACAUGGCUGGUCAUCUUGCUAUAUUGCUUGUGGACAUUCAGACUAUUUGGUGGACUCCUCCAGGCAUAGUGGGCAUCCAGGCCCCUUCCUGAGGCUGAGGCAUCUUACCGCAUUCUCAUUAGCGACGGGGCAAAGCAGUGGCCACUAAGAUAUUGGUGUCAUCAUCUAGCCUGCCUCCUGGGUCAAGAUCCCUUCUUUCCCUCUUCAGAUUCCAUUUGGCAGUUGGUGCCACCUGUUCAUGGUGCACCUCUGAUUUCCUGGUGACCCGCGUCUCUUACCUUGGACUUGUGGUAAUGUGGCCCUGGGUGCUGUUGCAGGUCACCACCCACUGUGCCGCCCCCCAGCAGAUGCCUAAUAGACAUCUCUUUCAUGGCUCAUUAGCCAUUUCUACUUCUGCUGUCCCAGAGAUAAGAACAUAAUUACUAAGAGCCUAGGGAGAACUAGGAGGCAAGGAGGCUUUAGGGAGGGAGCCAGGCAGGUGUGAGCAGUGGCAUGACUGGGGGGUGCAGGGGCUUCGUACCACAUUGGAUGACACUGUCAGAGGGGAUGACACCAAAAUGAUUAUAAAAUUUUUGUGCAGUGUUUCAGCAGAAAUUUAUUUUUUUUUAUAGAAAUAUCUCUGUAGUUGUAACAGCAUUUUUUGUAAGGCCAGCUUACAUGUAUCAGUAUACCUACAAGGCUAAAACACUAAUUUACUUUUGAACCUUCUAAUGCCCUCUCACCAGAACUGUCAUUACCCAGUUCACAUGGUUUUGUCUACAGACACUAUAAGCACAUACUGUUGUUUUCGUUGCUGCCAGUGUUUUCAUAGUCACUGAUUUUGUCAAGUUUUCUGGUAUUUUAGCUACAAUAUUGUGGUAAUUAGUAUUUGUAAACCUAUAUCAAUAAAUAUUUUGAGGAUGAAGUAGUAAUUAAAGGAAAAGAAAGAGUGAUGUAUAAGAAUUAAUGAUUUACGAGAACCAUUAGUGCAAAAAACAUUACUAAGGAUUCUGUGUGAUCUGGUACUGGAGGAGGUCCUAGGAGGGUGACACCAACCCUAGUGACACCACUGGGUGGGAGAGCUGCUCGUUGUCUCCUUGCCCAGAAAGACCUGCUUUUUAAAUAGGUACUGUUGAAUGACAAGUGCAUACACCUGGGAACUAAGUAAAUCCAGGCAAAUCCCUCAUGAUCCCAUCUCUCACCUCUUGCUCUCCAGAGCUCAGGUGCUAGAUAGAUUUCAAUGAAGUGGUAUUCCUCGCUGCCUGAACUGUGAACCAAAACCAAAAACCCACUGCCGUCAAGUUGAUUCCAACUCAUAGCGACUCUAUAGGACAGAGUAGAACUGCCGCAUAGAGUUUCCAAGGAGCGCCUGGCAGAUUUGAACUGGUUAGCAGCCAUAGCACUUAACCACUGCGCCACCAGGGUUUCCGAACUGUGAACCGAAUAGUUUAAAUAGUAGGGUAAAUUGUACCUUUGUUGUACCAAGAGUCAGCCAUGUGCUCUCUGAGGAGGUAAGCAUACGCUCUUAGAGCUAUGUAAGACUCGUUGUAUCCUGACUGCAUGUGGGCUGCGUUUGCCUCUUUGUCCCUCCUUCCAGCCGCCUUUGCAGAUAGUGGUGGUAGAUGUCUGCACCUCCCUCAGGCUUCUUUCUGGUCGCAUGUAUAAUACAUUAGAGCAAAAUAUGACAACAUACAGCCAGGACGAAUUUGACUUGAAUUACCACCCAUGAGUAAUCUUUGAUGGUCAUUAUUAACUUGAUCUAACAAGUUUUACUCUGUGUCUGAUGGUGGCUUACGUUAGUAUUUUAAGUACAGCCGUGCAGCCAAACAGUGGGUCAUCUUGUUGUCAUGGACAGUCAGAAUAUUUGACUAGAAAAUAGCUUUAAAAAAUAAAUUUUUAAUUUUUAGAAUAAAAUAACACUGUGUGAAGAGAAUUUGAGUAAUACAGAAGUAUAAAAAAGAAAAUAAAAAUCACCCAUAACCUCUCCAGCCAGUUGUCACUACAUUUUGAUGUUUUUCCUUCUUCCUUUGCGUUUACUGAAGAUUGUAUGUUGUUGUUGUUUAAACAGAAUUUACAAGGAGCAUUUUCCCUCGUCCGUAACGAGUGACUUUUUGUAGUAAAAGAACCAUUUUGCUUUUAAUAACAUCACUCCCACCUCAUGUUGAUUCUCCAGCUUUCAACGUUCAGAGCACUUUUACAUACAUUUUAUGAAAAAGGCCCGUAGUUUUACCCUGCUGUCUCCUAUUUAAGACACUUUUCCGUACCAAGUAUACUUUUGUUAGGACUUUUCACAACUUAGUUUUGGUUAGAGGUGGAGCCACAUACUCUUCAAACAGUGCUCCAUCUUCGAGUUUGUUUUUCAGUUGUAGAUGUGUGGCAGUUAAUCAGCAGGACCUGGCUGUAUCCACCCCAGUCCUCUUCUGCAGCUGAGGCCAGGAGUUAGAAAGGGGGAAGUCCCACCACACCCUGUGUGGACAUGGGCCUCACAGCUUUCGCCUGGGCCUGGCUGCCCGUGUCCCACCUGAUGGGACAUGAGGGUCCGCGGUAGAGCUCAUAGCCUUUAGUUUAACAACUUGUUGAGUUGUCCUCCCUCCAUAAUGAGGAGGAACCCAAACUCUCUGAGAUGUCAGGCUUCUUUCUCCUUUAGAUCUUACUAGAAGGAGUCUUGGACUCUCCUCCUUGAAGCCUCCUAUGCAUCUUUUAACCCAUCUUUAUUUCUUCUUCCCUGGAUUCCUGCAUUGCCUGUGUGUACACCACUUUGUUAUUUCAUUGCCUCCUCUGAGUGUUCUCGCUCAUCAGUGAGAGGAUUGUAAAGCCACGGGGGAAGGUACUUCUUUGCCUAACACAAGAGCUGUCUCGGCCGAGGGCUUUGGGUAAAUGCAUAGGUUGACCAAGGGGAUUAUUAGAGACUCUAAUCUGUCCCAUAGCUGAGCUGCGGUGCGAAUUAAAACUCCUCUAACAAAAGAGUAAUUCUCUGUACAAGGCAAUACCACAUAGUGCCGUUUCCUCAUCUUUUUUUCUCAUCUUUUUCCCUUUUCUCUCCAAAUCUUUUAUUGCCUGUUGUUCUUUCCUUCUCUUUCUCCAUUGCCACUGUGGACUUGGCAGUGUCUUGCUUUGAAGGAGUCUCAGUCCUAACGGGGCUGCUCUCCUACCUCAAAAGAUUUUAAAAAGUAAAAAAAAAGAAACCGGUUGUCAUCAAAUCAGUUCCCACUCAUGGCAACCCCAUGUGUGUCAGAGUAGAAAUGCACGUCAUAGGAUUUUCAGUGGCUGUUUUCUCAGAAAUAGAUUGCCAGAUCUUUCUUCUGAGGUGCCUCUGGGUGGACUUGAACCCCCAGGCUUUCAUCCUAGUGCUUAACCAUUUGCACCACCCAGGGACUCCAAAAAGAUAUUGGGAUUUGGAAGAAUUAGGAGAGAUAAACAACUUAAAUCUUAGUACCCAUACACUGUACCUUGGCCUAGCUGCCCUUUCUGUAAAAUGCUAUAUGGAGUGGCAUGGAGGAUGCAGAGCUGUAUAAAGCUGGAUCCUUCUUGCUGUGUGGAUGGCAAGGGAGUGCCCUACAAAACCCGCCAUCUCCACUGGCCACCGAUAGGGUCCUCACAGAUAGCAUUGCUGAGAUGUAGCUCCUCUAGUCCAGGGCUGGCACUUAGCUGUGCAGAGCCAGAAUCCUGGGUUGUGGGCUCCAGCAAGAGACUGCGUCUCCGGGGAGCUUAGCCCUUAAAUGACUCACAAACUGAUCAGAUUUUAGAAUCAGAAGGAACUUGAAAGAUCACCUGGCAGUAACCUCAGUGCUGCAUGUUUUCUAGAUGAGGGAUGCCAAAGCUUAGAGGGAGUGUGAAGCGUUCCUGCCUCACAGCUGGGUGGUGUAAUGGUCUCUGUGGAAUUCUGCCGGUGCUCUUGCUGAGGAUGGAUGCAUACUUCACCCUGAAGAGCUGGUGUGUCUGAUGGUGGUGACUUCUCGAGGCACCGCUUCGUUGCCAGAAGCUUCUAGGGCAGUGGGAUGGUGGGUACACAUGAGGCCCCUGUCCCAAGCCAAUGUCUGGUGUCCCUCAGUGUGUCAUGUUCUCUCCAAGUCACAUUCUGGUCCGUGCUUCUUGGAAGAUGUGUCAUCCGAAUGAAAUACCACGAGAGUGGCUAAAGAUGUUUUACCCACCCCAGUUAGGUUUUAUUGGUGCAGGGAAGGUAUUUAGAGUUGGGGCUGCAUCAGUGUUAGUGGCAUGUAGGGGUUCAGACACAUGCAUGGGGCUGCUUUGGGCCCCAGCCCGUUCUCUCCUGCUUUCUGGGGCAGCGGUCAGUGCUGUCUCCAGGUGUGCUUCCAGUGGCCACGGGCUGUUGGUGGCCUUGCAGUGAGUUGAAUGUUUCUAUGUGUUCUUUCUUUGCCAAGUCAUGGGCCUGGAAGGAUUCCAGGAGCAAGCGGGUGAUAGCAGACAACUGAAUACAGCUCUGUCUUUCCAUGAAAACUGCUUUUCUUGGCCUUCCUCCAACAGUGGUCAGUUGCCAGCAGAAAAUCCUUUUGGCUUUACAAAUGAUAUGGCCAUCAUCUGGGUUAGUUCUGGUUCUUUGUGUCAUUGAAAGGGAGGACUACUUCUGACUCUUACUUGGCAAUUUUUUUCUCCUGGCAUACUGAAUUGUGUUGUUUUACACACUUUAUAUGAAUCUGUGGUUUUAAGUGUAUACCAUUGUGUGAAGAAAGAUGCUUAAAGCUCCUGUUUAACAAAUGUCAGAUCAGGUGGAAGCCACAUCAGAUGGAGUGCUUAUAGCCCUGCCGUGGCUGGCUCACAAGCAGGAGUCUCGGCAGUUUAUUUUUUCUUGGGCCUGUUCUUUCUUGUUCUUUUUUUUAAAUGUUUUGAUUUGAAUUUCAACCCAGGAAGGUUAGGUUAUAGUGUUUUGAUUAUAUAUCAUUAUUGCUUAUGAUAGAUUUUAAGUUUGAAGUGACUAUUCUGAGUUUAUUGUUUUUAGAGCUGGUAAAUAAUCUAGGAUGAAAACUGGUAAUGUUUUAAUGUACUAGGACAAUUUGAAAAUAAAACAACAAAAACCUUUUGCCAUCUAGUUGAUUCCAACUCAUAGCGACCCUGUAGGACAGAAUAGAACUGCCCUAUAGGUUUUAAAAGGAGGAGCUGGUAGAUUUGAACCUUUUGGUUAGCAGCUGUAGCUCUUAAACCGUCGUGCCACAAUUUGGAAAUAA